rnacentral:rRNA from 1 species
UCCCUACGGGACGCAGCAGUGAGGAAUAUUGGUCAAUGGGCGGAAGCCUGAACCAGCCAAGUCGCGUGAGGGAUUAAGGCCCUAUGGGUCGUAAACCUCUUUUGUCAGGGAGCAAGGCCUCUCACGUGUGGGAGGUUGGAGAGUACCUGAAGAAAAAGCAUCGGCUAACUCCGUGCCAGCAGCCGCGGUAAUACGGAGGAUGCGAGCGUUAUCCGGAUUUAUUGGGUUUAAAGGGUGCGCAGGCGGCCUGUUAAGUCAGCGGUAAAAGCCCGGGGCUCAACCCCGGCGAGCCGUUGAAACUGGCG